rnacentral:rRNA from 1 species
UACGUAGGGUGCAAGCGUUGUCCGGAAUCACUGGGCGUAAAGGGCGCGUAGGCGGCGCGGUUAGUCGGCGGUGAAAGCCCGAGGCUCAACUUCGGGUCGGCCGUCGAUACUGCUGCGCUGGAGCACUGUAGAGGCAGAUGGAAUUCCGGGUGUAGCGGUGGAAUGCGUAGAGAUCCGGAAGAACACCGGUGGCGAAGGCGGUCUGCUGGGCAGUUGCUGACGCUGAUGCGCGACAGCGUGGGGAGCAAACAGG